AGCCAUGAGCUAAACUCAUAGCGAAUUAUUCUUUCGCCUUUUACUAAAGAAUACCGUGUGUUUCUCUCAUUAAGUGGCCUACACCUAUUUUUGGAAGAGUCCCUCUUUGAGGGCUC
rfam:Vigna radiata var. radiata cultivar VC1973A chromosome 5, whole genome shotgun sequence